rnacentral:misc_RNA from 1 species
ACGUUGUUGGAACACAUUAGGCCCAGCUUCAACACAACAACAGCCUCAAGCUCAUUAAACUCACCAUUCAAUCUUGGAUCCACUACAUCAAGAACUGCACCACUUCUCCACUUCUCCAACACCCAGUCCACCAAAAUGAGCUCCUCGGGCAAUGCUUUAGGCUCAAUAGGUCUUCUUCCACACACUACUUCGAGCAAUAAUGCACCAAAUGCAAAC